CCUCCUUUGUUCCUCCUUUUUGCCUCUUGCGCCAUGGGCGCACGCCUGCCGCAGCGACGCCGCGUGAGGGAUGAAGGUCUUCGGAUCGUAAACCUCUGUCAGCAGGGAAGAACGGUCACUGUGCUAAUCAGCAGUGAAUUGACGGUACCUGCAAAGGAAGCACCGGCUAACUCCGUGCCAGCAGCCGCGGUAAUACGGAGGGUGCGAGCGUUAAUCGGAUUUAUUGGGUUUAAAGGGUGCGUAGGCGGUCCGGAGAGUCAGCGGUAAAAGCCCGGGGCUCAACCCCGGCGAGCCGUUGAAACUGUCGGACUAGAGACGGCGAGAAGUACGCGGAAUGCGCGAUGUAGCGGUGAAAUGCAUAGAUAUCGCGCAGAACUCCGAUUGCGAAGGCAGCGUACCGGCGCCGGACUGACGCUGAGGCACGAAAGCGUGGGUAUCGAACAGGAUUAGAUACCCGGGUAGUC
rnacentral:rRNA from 1 species